UACGUAGGGUCCGAGCGUUGUCCGGAGUUAUUGGGCGUAAAGAGCGUGUAGGCGGCUUGGUAGGUCCGCUGUGAAAACUCGAGGCUCAACCUCGAGAUGUCGGCGGAAACCACUUGGCUAGAGUCCGGAAGAGGAGACUGGAAUUCCUGGUGUAGCGGUGGAAUGCGCAGAUAUCAGGAGGAACACCGAUGGCGAAGGCAGGUCUCUGGGCCAUUACUGACACUGAGAAGCGAAAGCAUGGGGAGCGAACAGGA
rnacentral:rRNA from 1 species